rnacentral:lncRNA from 1 species
CAUCAAGUGUGACCUGCAGCUAGAAGAGUCAGGAUCACGAAGUCCGAGCUGCCGAAGUGAGAGGAUCCCGGCUCUAGAACUUCGUCUUCAACCCAUUCCACUCCCGCCCUCGAAAAUAAGGCCUGAAUCCGGAGGAGCCUCGAAGGGUCUCAGCCCCUAUUCUCCAGGAGCCCUGGAAGGCCGCAGCUAGCCCGCAAGCUGCUUUGUUCUCCACCUUCGCCCCAUCCCUCUCUGAUCUCCCCCAACGGCGGUCUGAGACACACUGGGGUGAUGUGAAACAGCUGCAGACCUCUCCAGCAGCAGGGCGCUAGCUCUUCAGGAUUUUGAGGAAUGACAGGGACGAGUGUAGAGUGUGGGGCUUGAGGUGUCCUGCCCAAAACUUUGAAAUAAAGCAAAAAAAAAAAAGUAUUAUUUCAGCUGUUCCACAUAUCCCUGACUUACAAGGGCCUUCUUCCCCUCCACCUCCCGCCAUUAAUUGUCAAAUGUUGGGCUGAUGAAGGAACUCCAGUCUGUCCUCGCCGUGUCCCUUCGCCCGCCUCUUCCUCAACUUAUUGGGGGAGGCUUGGGCCUGUUUCUUCUUCCUGGGGAACGUUAUUGAGGAUUUCCUCUAUGUGAGGCCAAGCUCUCAAGGAGCCUCGCUCCGGGUGGGCCGCGGUCGUCAAUCGGACAGCGCCCUGUAAGGGAAGAAGCAACCUCCCGCCGCAAACUCUCGUCCGGGACUCGACGGCCGCUCUGGCCCUCGCCCUGGCCCUGGCCCUCUCCAGUCGGGUGCGGUAUCCCCCGCCCUGCCGCGUGAUUGCGCAGUUGCUGGGCCUGCGGGGCCGAGACAAGCACCGAGGUCAGAGAGCGCAGCCAAGGAAGGGAGAGAGGGUGUUCGGUGGCUCUGGGCGCCGCUGCAGCAGGCGGGCAGGAACUCUAGAGCCCUUGUCCCGAACCGCGAGUUAUUCACUUCUCGCUUUUGCAGCUCCUCAACGGCAGCCCACGAAGGCACAGAGACCAGUCUCCCGUGCUAGCCACUGACUUCAUAGGAUGGAAGGACCGGAGCAGGAGNGUUCGGUGGCUCUGGGCGCCGCUGCAGCAGGCGGGCAGGAACUCUAGAGCCCUUGUCCCGAACCGCGAGUUAUUCACUUCUCUCUUUUGCAGCUCCUCAACGGCAGCCCACGAAGGCACAGAGACCAGUCUCCCGUGCUAGCCACUGACUUCAUAGGAUGGAAGGACCGGAGCAGGAGGCUCCGAUGCUCGCCCCCGGCCCCCAAGUCUCAGCCUCCGGGUCUUCCCUGGUCUUUGCUACUAACACCCCAGUCCCUCCUGCUUCGCCGGCGCGCCCUCACUCCCUCCCUCUA